rnacentral:rRNA from 1 species
GAUGAACGCUGGCUACAGGCUUAACACAUGCAAGUCGAGGGGAAACGACGGGGAAGCUUGCUUCCCCGGGCGUCGACCGGCGCACGGGUGAGUAACGCGUAUCCAACCUGCCUCUGACUGAGGGAUAACCCGUCGAAAGUCGGCCUAAUACCUCAUGGCAUCGUCUGCGGGCAUCCAACGACGAUUAAAGAUUUCAUCGGUCAGGGAUGGGGAUGCGUCUGAUUAGCUUGUUGGCGGGGUAACGGCCCACCAAGGCUACGAUCAGUAGGGGUUCUGAGAGGAAGGUCCCCCACAUGGGAACUGAGACACGGUCCAAACUCCUACGGGAGGCAGCAGUGAGGAAUAUUGGUCAAUGGGCGGGAGCCUGAACCAGCCAAGUAGCGUGCAGGAUGACGGCCCUAUGGGUUGUAAACUGCUUUUAUGCGGGGAUAAAGUGAGGGACGUGUCCUUCAUUGCAGGUACCGAAUGAAUAAGGACCGGCUAAUUCCGUG